GCGGCCGUCGUCUAGCCUGGAUCAGGACGCUGGCCUCCCAAGCCAGAGGUCCCGGGUUCAAAUCCCGGCGGCCGCA
rnacentral:tRNA from 2 species